rnacentral:rRNA from 1 species
UACGGGGGGGGCAAGCGUUGUUCGGAAUUACUGGGCGUAAAGGGCUCGUAGGCGGCCAACUAAGUCAGACGUGAAAUCCCUCGGCUUAACCGGGGAACUGCGUCUGAUACUGGAUGGCUAGAGGUUGGGAGAGGGAUGCGGAAUUCCAGGUGUAGCGGUGAAAUGCGUAGAUAUCUGGAGGAACACCGGUGGCGAAGGCGGCAUCCUGGACCAAUUCUGACGCUGAGGAGCGAAAGCCAGGGGAGCAAACGGGG